AUGAAGAUAGGCAAAUUCCGCCAUUGUUGUAAAGAGAGACGAUACGCUUCAAGAUUUUUUUAUCGUUUAUGUCCAUUGUUUUCACAGCUAAAGCCUGUAAGUAUAUUCAAAAGAUACAUUUUACUAAUUCUACUAAUUUGUUUAUACUAUAAUGUGCUGCUAUGAUGAUAAUAAUCAAAUACAGACCAAUUUAAAGUCGGUGCAUUCAGCUUCCCCUCUUUAUUGCUGUAGAACUGGUCUGGUCCACAAUUUUUUUUUCUUCAUAAAACGUAAAAAUUUUAAAAUGUAUAAUAUUUUUUUUGUGUUUUUCUACUCCCGAUUGUUUUCCCGUUAAAAUGAGACUAUUUUCGUAUAGUUUGGUCAAAAAGUGUUUUCAUAAAAUACCAUCAAAGGGGAUUUUUUUUUGCAUUGAUACCCAAAUCCAGCUAUGAACUACCAGCAAAGGUGACUAAUAUUUUCAUAUUGAUAUAAAAAAAAACCAGCUACAUGUACAAUGUGUGUUGGUAUCCUACUUUUGUUAAAAAGGGGUAUCAAAUUAUCAUUCUUCUUUACAAAGUGGAGGUGUAUUAUCCAUUAAGGUAUUUUUAUGUCCAACCUUUACAGUCUUCACACUGAAUGGCAGCCCAAGAUUGCUAAAUUGCUCCCGGGUCUGUAAAAAUCAUAUCUACCAACAGAAUCUAACUUCGAAAUUUCAAAAAUAGAGCCUCGGGCCUGUAGAUUUAACAGUUCAUCGUAAUGACUGCCUGUAGGUCCACCUAUAGCUAGUGACCUACAUGUACAAAAAUGUACGUGUACAAUAGAAGGGACAUUAUGUCUUCUGGUCUCUUUGUUUCAUCCGUUUGUCCGUCUGUUUUGCUUCAGGUUAAAGUUUUUUGUUAAAUAAGAUUUUUUUAUCCCAAUUUCAGGGUUCACUGAAUACAACAUGUACAAUGUCAAUGUAUAUCUGUGGUGAUGGUGCAAGUUUCAGGUUAAAGUUUUUGGUCAACAUAGUUUUUGACUUGAAACUUAGUACACAUGUUCCUUUUGAUAUGAUCUUUCUAAUUUAAAUUCCAAAUAAGAUUUUUUACCCCAAUUUCAUAAUAAUUUAAAAAAAGAAGAUGUGGUAUGAUUGCCAAUGAGAUAACUGUCCACAAGAAAACAAAAUGACACAGACAUUAAGAACUAUAGGUCACCGGACGGCCUUCAACAAUGAGCAAAGACCAUACCACAGUAAGCUAUAAAAUUUCCCUUUUUGACAAUCUCAGUCAAUGUUAACCACUGUAAUCAGCCCUUCAUGUCUUGUGGCAUGUUUCCCAAAAAAUUUGGAUAAAAUAUCAUAUAUAUAUAUAUCCAUGUAAAGUUAAAACAAUAAGUAGAAGGAGUGUGUUAAGUUAAAAUAUAUAUUUAUGUAUUUAUAGUGGAUUAAGAAACAAGUAAUUUCACGUUUUAGUAACCCCUUUUAACUUAGCCGUUUUACACCUGUGUAGCUGCAUUAGCCUGGUCUCUUCAAAUCUUCAACAGUGUCUUUUACGUGCAAGAGAUAUUGCUCUCUCUUAACACAAGUCAGUCAUUUAUCGUCCCCUUCUGAUGGACUAGCAUUGAUUCUCAAGUCCAUACUUGUAAAUGGUGUCAAGGAAGAGUCUGAAAGUCAUUCCCUGAAAUUUUCACACUGGAACGGGUAUUGAACCAGGAACUAAUGUGUCUGAGAUCAAUGCACCAGCCAGUACACGACUACUCUCUAUUUACUGAACUCCCACCUACUUGUACCUCAUUUAUAUGCCCUGUAGACCAUAAUUUUUUUUUACAAUUUUUUAGUAAACACUGUUAAAGUUACAAUGUUGCUCCCAUAGAUUUAAUGUAAUAGAAUUGUUAAGAAUAUGGUAUUCAGUAUACCAGCAGUUUAUUCGGAACUAAAUAUACUUGGCUUUAUCGUUAUCCAUUUACACUACGACGUCAUACAAAGGAAUUCCGGGAUUCCCCAUGCAUUAUUGCGCAGUCAUAUAAUAGUUGUUAUCCUGAUCGGACGUCCCCAUUUGAUGAGCGGCCUAAAAGAAAACCAUUGACUCAAGCCUAGGAUUGUGAUAUUAAAGGUAAUAUAUUGCAUACACUAUCCCUAUAAAAUCAUUACAGUGGUGUCAGAAGUCGGCACGAAUCCACUGAUUUACACCGUUAAUCGGUGACAUCCAUUCGCGCCAUAUUUUCAUAUUUUUUCUUUGUUUUCGAGAGAGGAAAAUCUUUGUUUCUUCUCUCCCGCGAUUGUAUUAUUUCAUGGCGCGCUGAUUUAUCAAUACUAUUGAUAUUUGCGCGAGUGAUAUAUUCGUUUCAUAUUGAUUUUGUGAUUAUCAGACUUUCCGUGGGAUAAAAUUCCCAUCCCCCUUUUUGUAAGACAGUUAUAAAAUACACAGAUUUGCAUACACCUAGAGAAUAAGACAAAAUAACCUUAUAUAAAAAACUACUAGUGGAUAUUAUUGAUUAUCUAUUUGGUUUACUUCAGGUUUUGUUUAUUUAUAUUAAUACAAAUCAAACCAGAGCGUCAGAUCUUCUGAUGUCAGAUAUCAUUUAUAUGUUUUUCUUUUGUUUUUCAUAAAUUAUUGAUACAACUGUGUGCGUCAGAUCUUCUAAUGUCAUAGUUGUUAUCAAAUUAUUUUUUUUUAAUUUUUUUUAAUUGUCUAGUCGGUUUUACCGUCUGAAAAGUGUUCACUCAUUAAAGAAUGUGUUGAUAAUAAACUUUCCAUCUGAUGAGUUGAGCCUUUUUCAAUUGAUUUUUAUAGUUCGUUCUUAUGUUGUACUGUUAUACCACUGUCCCAGGUUAGGGGGAGGGUUGGGAUCCCGCUAACAUGUUUAACCCCGCCACAUUAUUUAUGUAUGUGCCUGUCCCAAGUCAGGAGCCUGUAAUUCAGUGGUUGUUGUUUGUUUAUGUGUUACAAAUUUGUUUUUCGUUCAUUUUUUUACAUAAAUAAGGCCGUUAGUUUUCUCGUUUGAAUUGUUUUACAUUGUCUUAUCGGGGCCUUUUCUAGCUGACUAUGCGGUAUGGGCUUUGCUCAUUGUUGAAGGCCGUACGGUGUCUGUGUCAUUUUGGUCUUUUGUGAAUAGCUGUCUCAUUGGCAAUCAUACCACAUCUUCUUUUUAAUAAAAAUGUACUACUAUUUGUUGUGAAUUGUGUAUACAUACGUCAUUGUUUACAAUUUUAUACCUGUGUUUAAAUAGUAAAAAAAAAAUCUGAGUUUAAGAAUUUGUAUAUUUGAUAUUAAAGAGAAAGACAAAUAUAAACAUAUUUGAUUGUUUCACUUAUGUUUAUUUACAUUUAUGCAUAUAAAGUUUUGAAUAUGUAUGUCCUUUAACUUAGAUGAUAAUAUAAACAGGUUUAUUAAAAUUAGUUAAUCUCUGAAACAGCUUUGCGCGUCAGAUCCUCUGAUGUCAUAGGUGUUUUCAGAUUGAUUUUUGUUUUUUGCUAUACUUGUGUUUUCAUUGGCAAAUCAGAAUAAAAUCAAUAUACCAAAUUUUCUGAAAUUGUGAUUGUAUGUAAAAGCGUUUGUGAUUAUUUAAAAAAAAUUGUUUGUGAUGUUGUGUUUUUGUGCUUGUGUUUAAAAAAAAAAAGGGUUAUUGUUUUGUGAUAGUGCUAGUGUCUGUAUAGUAAUAGCCUAUGCGUACAUAUUACUUUUGUUAUUCAUCCUGACACUAUUCAAUUUCUAUACAAGUAGUAAUAUACAUUGAUUUUUUUUUUUGAUUUUUUAUAAAAAGUUUAUUAGAUUUUGGCCAUUAUGUCGCAACCUAUCAAUAUAAACAUAGCUUCAUUGGAACAACUUAAACAGAUAUCAGAAAUAAAUGACAGAAGAGCACAAAAGAUUAUUAACAAAAGAGAAGAGAAAGGCUCCCCUCUUAUUUUGGAAGACCUAAAACUUAUGACGGAUAUUCCUAAUACCAUGUGGGAUCCACUGAUGAAGACUGGGGUUUUAAUAUUGGAACCAUCCGAAGAAAUCCAAGAAGGGAUCCAAGAAAAUGUUACGGGGAAAGCAGAAGAAAAUGCCAAAGAAAUUAAGAAGAUGGCAGCAAUGAUUAAAAAAAUUAAAAACUAGUUUUUCAAAUACAGAGAAAGACAAAGCACUAAUGAAAGCAGAUUAUGAACAUAGGAUUGCAGCUGUAAACCAGGACUUCACAGUUAAGAUGAAAAACAGAGAACACGAUUACGAACAACAGUAUGAAAAACUUGCCAAGAGACAUAAGGAAGAAAUGGAAGAAUUGAUUAACAAAGUUAACGAAAGAGAGCUGACAUUAAAUCAAUCUAUAGAAGAACGAAAUGAACAGAUAAAAAAAAUACAGAUGACUAUGAAGACGGAGACAGAUGAUAAAACCAAGUUACAGGGGAUGAUUGAAAAAUGGUCAUUACCAAAAGAGAAUCCUAGCAUGAAAAUAGCCGAAACUAAAGAUGAAUCUAGUUGGAAAACCAAAACUUAUACACACACAGGACAGGGCAGUAAACGACAAGAUGGUUCAUUGCCACCUAAGAUGAGCACAUAUGAUGGUAGGAGUGACUGGCGACCGUACCUUGUUCAAUUUAAUCAUAUUGUCAAUAGAUAUAACUGGACGAAUCAAAACAGACUGGACAAGCUUAUUGAAUGUUUGAGAGACAGAGCACUUAACUUUUUUACCACAAUACCAAAGUCAGUCCAGGAAGGAUACCAAGCUGUUUGUAAAAAGAUGGAAGACAGAUUUGGAAGAAAGGACUUACCUCAUGUUAUAAGGAGACAACUGCAAGACCUUCGUAAAUUACCAGAGGAACCUCCUGAUGAGUAUGCAGAGAAACACAGGAUCUUGCAACUGAUGGGUUUCCAGAAACACCUGAUGAUUUUAUUCAAAUAGUUGCCACUGAUGCUUUUCUGAAAGAAUGCAUGGACAAAAAGGCAGCUUUAACAGCGAUGGAUAAGAAUCCUGAUAGUUUGGACAGAGCGCUUAAGUAUGUGAAGAGUGCUGUUCCCGAUCAGAAAGUUAUUUUAGGAAAUAAAAAGCCUGAGGUUAAAAGGGUAACAUUCCACGAAACAGAAACAGACGUGUAUGACUCACAUGGGGAUCAUGAAUCUACAACAAGUGUAAGAGCUUUGUACAGAAAAGGAGCAAGUGAUACUAAUGUAAUUAGCAGAUUUGAGUCAAGACUUAAAAAGACAAAAGAAGAUGUUCAGGACACAAAGUCAAGCAUCAAACAGAUACUGGACAUUUUGAAAAGGGGUAAUUCAACCAAUAGAUUCGGACAAUCACAAAGAUUAUCCAGUCCAGGAAGAAGUCUUAUUAGAGAUAAUAAAUGCUUUAACUGUGAAGAAGGACAUUUUAUUGCACAAUGUGAAAAACCAAAGAGUAGAUCGCCACAAAGAUAUGGAAACAGGUCAAGGUCACCAUCACCAAAUGUAAACAGGGAGUCUUUAAACUCCAACGGAUUGAAGCAGUAGGCCGACCUUCAACCCAUCCAGGUGAUAUUGGAAGGCCACCAACUCUCUCUUUAGACAAACAAACUGAAGUCAAUUUAUAUAAGACAAAUAUCCCAGACUCAGACGCCAAAACAUUAUAUAUUCCUGUAGUGGUGAACAGUAAGAAAACUUUCGAAGUAAUAGACACAGCAGCGCAGGUGUCGGUUAUAAGUAAAACAUAUAAUGGCCAAUAAUUCCUUUCUAGUUGUACAAUAAUUCCGCUGAGCCGGUGUUAAGACUUUACUUGCGAAGCUUACUGUUCUUUCCACUCCAUCUUGUAUCUGACUUAAUUCUGCCCCGAUAGAUUUUUGUGAAGCAUCUGUAUCUAGAAUAAAUAGGUCAUCAGGUGUUGGAUAACUUAAUAUCACUGAAUUUAUCAAAGCUUCUUUAAGAUUUUAAAAAGACUGUGUUUGUUCUUCAUUCCAUGCAAAUUCUGCCUUUGGACCAGUAAGUCGAUGUAAAGGUUCCGCAAUUUCGGCAAAUUGUUCUAUGUGAUCACGAUGGUAAUUAAUAAACCCUAUAAAGGAUUUUACUUCUUUUCUGUUCCUUGGUGUUGGCCAUUUCUUUACAGAUCCUAUACUGUCAGGAUUCACUGCAACUCCAUCGGCGCUGACUAUUUUCCACCAAAACUUCACUUGUGUUUGCAGCAGCUGACAUUUGCUCGGUUUAAACUUUAAGUUAUGCUUCUGGAACCUCGAAAACACUUCACUUAAACUACAGAUGUGGUCAUCAAAAUCUUUGUCUAAAACAAUUACAUCGUCAAGAUAUGCUAGAAAUUCUUUCCAGGUAAGGCCUUGAAUAACAAGCUGAAUUACUCUGCUGAAUGUUGCAGGACUAUUACAUAGACCAAAUGGAAGUUUUGUAUACUGAAAUAGACCGUAUUUAGUAACAAACGCUGUCUUGUGUCUGUCUUUUUCGUCUAAGUUCACCUGAUAAUAUCCUGAGGCCAUAUCAAGCGUUGACAUGAAAACGGUUCCUUUCAAGGUGUCUAAACAUGUGUCUAUGUUCGAAAUCGGAAACGCUUCUUUUACAGUGACGUCAUUCAACUUCCGGAAGUCUACGCAGUAUCUGAGCUUCCCGUCUUUCUUCCUUACUAAGACUGGUGGCGAUGCCCAUUCCGAAGUAGAUGGUUCUAUAAUUCCUUUAUCUAACAAUUGCUGUAAGUAUUCUUCAUCUUCUUUCUCAAAUCCCAGGGGUGUUUUUCGCAUUUUCUGUUUAAUAGGAUGGGAAUUUCCAGUAUCAAUCUUAUGUUGGAUAUCUCCAUUGAACAGUCCAAUAUCCAGGUCAUCCUUAGCGAAAAUAUCUUGGAACUUCAGUAAUAAUGUAGCUAGCUGCAAUGACUGUUGGUUGUUCAAAUUUGCUAGUGAUCGGUUGAAUAGUUCUUUUAAAUGUGUUGGUAGUUUCUCUCUUAGCUGGUUCAGGCCAAAGGACUGUUUUGGAUCAAUAUCUAUUUUAUUCAACUUUAAGCUAUUUUCGUCUGUUUCCUCCAUUACAGCAUUAAUCUCUAAUCAUAUACCCAUCUGAAAAUCCUUUUUUUUUCAGAGUUUUAAAUUGCUCUGUUGGAUUUCUAAGCAUUACAGGAACUUGUUUUUUACCCAUACAUAGCAUAUUUGGAACCAACAGGCCCUUCAUGAAAUUGGUUGGUUGAAUUACAAUAUCAUUCAUCGGCUUCUCAUCUAACUCAACAAUGGCGACUUUACUGGAGCCAGGCGGUAUGACAAUCUUCUUUUUUAUCUUUGUUUUGUGUAUUUUCAUUUGUUAGUCCUGUCUGUUUGAAGUCAUAAAGGAUGGAACUUUUUCACCUUUAAGUUUGAUAGAAUAGUCUGUUAAGUCAAUAAUUGCUUUUUGGCUCUCAAGAAAAUCUAUACCUAGAAUGAGAUUAUCUGUUAUUUCAGCUACAACCAUAUCCCAUUUUACUGUGGAACUGCCUAUGUCCAAGUUUACAUUUUCUACUAUUCCUGCAUUUAUUUCUGAACAAGCUCCAGCACUUUUAAGUACGAUGUUACCUUUGAUUUUGGGUUUGUAAGUUAACUGGUCAAAAAAUGCUUCACAAAAAUCUAUCGGGGUAGAAUUAUGUCAGAUACAAGAUCGAGUGGAAAGAACAGUAAGCUUCGCAAGUAAAGUCUUAACACCGACCCCGCGGAACUAUUGUACAACUAGAAAAGAAUUAUUGGCCAUUAUAUGUUUUACUAGACAAUUUCGUCACUAUCUAUUAGGUCGGACUUUUGUGAUAAGAACGGACCACAACAGUUUAACCUGGUUACUAAACUUUAAAAAUAUUGGAGGACAACUGGCAAGAUGGAUAGAAGAACUGUCUCAGUAUAACAUGAUUAUACAACACAGAGCUGGAAAGAAACACAUUAACGCAGAUGGAUUGUCAAGAAUACCGGAUGACAUUGAAGCAUGCCGUAACUACAGACCAGAUGUCAAUUUAGAGGAAUUACCUUGUGGAGGUUGCAAGUUUUGCACAAGGGCACGGCAACGGUUGCAAACAUUUGAGGAAGAAGUGGACUUUGUCGUCCCCUUAACCAUAAGAAGACUUGUUGACGACGGUUCAUAUAAUACAAAUUGGACUCCGUCAUACUCUCCAGUAGAACUGCAUGAAGAACAAAUGAAAGAUUCUGAUUUAAAAACUUUAAAGAGAUGGAUCGAGGAUAAAUAUGAGCCAACUAAAGCAGAACUCAAACUGUUUAGAAGUAGUUCGACAUUUUUGGUCAUUACGAUAGCAAAUACAGAUAAAAGACUAUAUUUUACUUUACAAAUGGGAAGAUCCUAUUUCGCCAAGACUCCUUUUCAUGACACCAAAACAGAUGCAAAAGGAACUUCUACAUGGAUGUCAUGAUGUCGUCUCGUCUGGUCACAUGGGACAAUAUAAAACAUUAGAAAAACUGAAACAAAUAGCUGUUUGGUUAAACAUGACGCAAUCCUUGCAAACUGUAUGUGAAAUCAUGCACUACAUGUAAUCUUAACAAGAAAUCAACACGAACUGCCAGAUCGAAGCUAGGGCAAUACCAUGCUGGUUUCCCAAUGGAACGAGUACACAUAUACAUCUUAGAGCCUCUUCCUGUUACAAAAACAGAAAGUAAAUAUUUGCUUAUGGUAAUUGAUCAGUAUAAACAGUGGUUAGAAUGCUUCCCAAUUGCAACACAGACAGCUGAAGUUGUGGCAAGAACCCUGGUGGAUCAUUUCUUUUCUAGAUUUGGCUGUCCGAUUGAGCUCCACACAGACCAAGGAAAAAACAUGGAUGGAAAUUUAGUAAGACAGCUCUGUGAACUACUACAAAUAGCCAAGACUAGAACCACACCAUAUCAUCCGUCAUCUAAUGGACAAGUGGAACGGUAUAACAGAACAAUACUACAGACAAUAAGAUGUUUCAUCAAAAGUAAACAACACAACUGGGAUUUAUUUUUACAACAACUAGCUGACCGAGCAACACGCAACUCGCAAACAGGAUUCUCUGCUAACAUGAUGAUGCUGGGAAGAGAAGUUUUUCAACCAAUUGAUGUAAUUUUAGGCACUUCAAACUGGAAUGCUGACAGAAAAGAAGUAAUUUCCACAAUAUAUUAAAGAUCUAGUGGAGAAUUUAAACAGGGUGCAUGACAUCGCCAGGGAUAAUUUGAAGGCUUCACAGGAACGACAAAAAGGCAUAUACGAUUUAAAAUAUAACCAGAAUAUGUAUAAUGUCGGAGAUGUCGUUUAUAAACUCAAUCAAGCUACAAAGGUGGGACAGUCUGCCAAAUUGAAAUCUCCGUGGAAAGGACCAUAUUUGAUAACAGCUUGGCGUUCACCUGUAUUAUACAAGAUAAAGGAUAGGAAAACAGAAUCUUGGAUUCAUCAUGACAGAAUUAAACUUUGCGAAGACAGAGACUUUCCAAUCUGGAUAUAAAACGAUGAGGAAUCAAUUAAUGGAUCAAACGAUGGAUGAAGAAACUAACGGAAUUUACGAAUGCCCAAUUGGAUUGCCAGAUAUAUUUAAAGAAAACACUAAUGUCAUGAGUUCGUCAGAUCCUCUGAUGUCUCAUUUUAUUGGUGAUGCUGCUAUUGUGAGUGCGCCAGAUCCUCUGGUGUCUCACACAGUCAGUAAUUCGACUUCUUCAGAGAAUAAAGCUCUAACCGACAUGUGUGAGAAGAAUAUCAAUGGGGAUCUUCAUGUUCAUGUCUGAUGUUGAAUCCGAUAUGUUAAGUAGGCGGGGGCAAAGGAAAAAACCUGCCUACUUAUCAGACUAUGUCGAAGAUUAAUGAUUUUGUUGCAGAUAAUCAUUAUUUAUGUAUAAUAUUGUAAUAUAGUUUUUUGUCCACUAUUGUUACUUAGAAAAGAAAUUUUUAGCCAAAGUGUAACAUAUUUUUAAGCUUUACUACAUGUAUUAAUGUGUGCGCAAUUUUUGCUUAUAAUUUUUGCUUAUAAAGAAACUUAAUAUAUUUUGAUAUUUUUCUAUAUCUAUUGUGUAUGUCUCCUCUCAAUGUUUUACUUAUUCCUGCAGUAUGCAUGAAGAUGAUGAAUUUGAGCCGGACUAUGGACCUUUUGAGGAUGAACUACCAAAAAAUGAUGCAAUGUAUAUUCGUGCGAGUACAAAGAGAUACAAUAAGGGAAAAAAGUGUCCGACGUGUGCGGGAAUUUUCACUAAUGUCAGCAGACAUGUGUUAAGAACGCAUCUACCUUGGUAUGCUGCCGCCCAAACUGCUUGCUGGCAGUGUAAAAUACAAUUUGCUCAGAAUAGUGUUUUAGAUGCUUAUAUUGCAGAAUGCCAUCAAUCUGACAUAAAGAAUACAAGUAUAAGACAAAUCUGAACGCUGGGUUAACCUAAUGAAUGGUUUGUUGGAUGUUGUUUCUAAAGAACUCGAAUGUGAUACUCUACAAGAUCUCUGCAAUUUAGCUGACAAAAUCUGUGUUUAUCCCAAGCAUUCAGAGCCCAUUUUUCAGGGAAAAGAUUUAAAACUGGUAUCCAUAUUUAAUGCCACGAAUGAAUAUGUAUUUGAAUUUGGAAGUAAAAAUAUUAUAGUUCAACCCCCAUACAGUAUACCGUUCUUGUUACAUUGGCGAAUAUUAGCUUCAUUGAUCCAACAAACAGAAAUGGGCGAGAACAUCAUUUCCGUUGAGAAAAUUAAAUCUUUAAGACCAGUUUUGGAGGUAAAGGAGACACUACACUUUCAUUUGGAUAUGCUAUCAAAAAAAAUAGGCACCAUUUCAUUACCUCACUUUUUUUGGACUUGGAGCAACAAAGAUUAUAAAAUUUCCCAUCUUAUUAGCAAUUACUGUUAUCCCAGAAACUGGCCGUCUAGUGAUUUAAGAUCCAAAAUUAGGCAGGAUAACAGGAUUAAACUAACUUUCGGCAUUCACCCACGAAUUGUGGAGAUGGAAAACACAUCAAAACUAAAUGAAUGGAUUUCGGAUUUGGAAUGGCUGUUAAAAGCGAAUAGAGUGGUUGCUGUCGGUGAGUGUGGUUUAGAUAAUAGUGGGAGGAAAUGGGAUGUAGAAAAACAGAUCAAGUUUUUUGAAAAACAAAUUGUAAUUGCAGUUAAAAGAGAUUUACCAUCGGUUAUUCAUUGCAGAGGAGAUGAACGUACUGAUGAGAUAUGUUUGAAUACACUUGUUCGGUUGCUGCCGAAACACUUUAAAUUACACAGGCACUGUUUUAAUGGAGAUGAAAUGAUGUAUCGGAAAUGGAAAACGUCAUUUCCAAACUGCAAAUUUGGCAUUUCACCUUUCAUCCUAAAUGACCAAAAAUAUCCAAAAUAUAGGUCUCUAGUGUGUAACAUGAAAUUGAAGGAUAUUGUAUUGGAGACAGAUGCCCCGUAUCUAUAUUCUGAGUUUGAGGAUUAUGGCUCACCGUUGAUGAUAAAGGAUGAUAAAGGAUAUCUAUGAAAAAUUGGCAAACAUUUUUUUGUGUAGCGUAGAAGAAAUAGCCAAUAUUACGACCAAGAACGCUACAGAUGUCUACAGCAUCAUUUAAGUCAUGGCGGAUAUUUUGUAUAUAUAUAUAUUUUGUACAAGUAAUUCGUACAUAGUUAUAUUGUGAUCAUUUUGUGACAUUCCAACGUUAUGGCUACAUGAUCGAACUUCAAUUUACGGACAAUGUAUUCCAAAUUAAGGAUUUAUUUUCCUGCAUCAAACUUCAAACCGUUUGUACCAUUUAGUGUUAAGUAAAAGGAAUACCUAUAACUUUAUUCUACAGAAAGGGUUCAUUUCUACGAAAGAGGGAGGAAUGCUCGUGUUGUUUAUUCUUUAGUUUUCUAUGUUGUGUCAUGUGAACUAUUGUUUUUCUGUUUGUCUUUUUCAUUUUUAGCCAUGGCGUUGUCAGUUUGUUUUAGAUUUAUGAGUUUCACUGUCCCUUUGGUAUCUUUCGUCCCUCUUUUAAGAAUAUGGUAUUCAGUAUACCAGCAGUUUAUUCGGAACUUAAUGUACUUGGCUUUAUCGUUAUCCAUUUACACUACGACGUCAUACAAAGGAAUUCCGGGAUUCCCCAUGGAUUAUUGAGCAGUCAUAUAAUAGUUGUUAUCCUGAUCGGACGUCCCCAUUUGAUGAGCGGCCUAAAAGAUAACCAUUGACUCAAGCCUAGGAUUGUGAUAUUAUAGGUAAUAUAUUGCAUACACUAUCCCUAUAAAAUCAUUACAGAAUUGUUAAGAAUAAAACAAAAUCCUUAUCUAUUACUCUCCACAAUAGAUCAAAAUAACACAAACAUUAACAAUUAUAGGAUUGUAUGGCCUUCAACAAGGAGCAAAGCCUAUACCACACAGUCAGCUAUAAAUCACCCCAAAACGCAAUGUAAAACAAUUCAAACGAGAACCAGAUGCUCCGCAGGGCGCAGCUUUAUACGACCGCAGAGGUUGAACCCUGAAUGGUUGGGGCAAGUAUGGACACAACAUUCAAGCUGGAUUCAGCUCUAAAUUUGGAUUGUGAUUAAAUAGUUGACACAGCAUAGGUUUCUGACACAGAAUAAAUGUGGUCUAAUGAACUUAAAAUAUUUUUUUUGCCUUUGAGCAAUACACUAUACUGUUGAAUAUUAAUCCUCUCAAAAAAAUGUUUGAAGAAAUUUUCUUUUUAUUUAUGAAAUCUGAAAUGAGAAUAAUUUACCCCUCCCCCCCCCAAUUUUUUUUUACAUCCCCCUUUCCCUUUCUCCAAAACUGAUCUCAAUUCAAAUUUCUAAUGGAGCUUGCAACAAUAACUACUCAUUUAAAUACAUCAUAAAAUAUUAAAAUGUAAAAUAAAGUGCUUGUUAUCACUGAAUGGUAAAGAUUGUUUUAAUUUAUCAGUUGGUAGUAAAAGUGAAUAUACAUUGUAUAUUGUAUAAAACAAUGAUUUAAGUUGAUUCAACUACUACUCUGGACAAAGAAAGAUAACUCCAAUUAAAAAUUUCUUGCUAUUGCACAAUAUUGUGCAAUUAGAUAUUUCUUGCUAUUGCGCAAUACUGUGCAAUUGAAAAUAUUUGCUAUUGCACAAUACUGUGCAAUUGAAAAUUUCUUGCUUUUGCACAAUACUGUGUAAUUGAAGAUUUCUUGCUAUUGCUGAAUACUGUGCAAUUGAAAAUUUCUUGGUAUUGCACAAUACUUAAUAUAAUAAUUUUGGAUCCUGAUUUGAAACAACUUGAAAACUGGGCCCAUAAUCAAAAAUCUAAGUACAUGUUUAGAUUCAGCAUAUCAAAAAAGCCCAAGAAUUCAAUUUUUGUUAAAAUCAAACUUAGUUUAAUUUUGGAACCUUUGGACUUUAAUGUAGACCAAUUUGAAAACGGGACUAAAAAUUAAGAAUCUACAUACACAGUUAGAUUUGGCAUAUCAAAGAAUCCCAAUUAUUCAAUUUUUGAUGAAAUCAAACAAAGUUUAAUGUUGGACCCCAAUUUGGACCAACUUGAAAACUGGGCCAAUAACCAAAAAUCUAAGUACAUUUUUAGAUUCAGCAUAUCAAAGAACCCCAAGGAUUUAAAUUUUUGUUAAAAAUCAAACUAAAGUUUGAUUUUGGACCCUUUGGACCUUAAUGUAGAGCAUUUUGAAAACGGGACCAAAAAUUAAGAAUCUACAUACACAGUUAGAUUCGGCAUAUCAAAGAACCCCAAUUAUUCAAUUUUUGAUGAAAUCAUACAAAGUUCAAUUUUGGGCCCCUUAUUCCUAAACUGUUGGGACCAAAACUCCCAAAAUCAAAGGCACUAAUACAACUUUUUUUUUUAAUUAGAGCAUGACAAUGAACUCUGAACAAGAUAAAACGUUUUAUGCCAAUCUUUUAAUAAAUUUAAAAUUAUAUUCCAUAGCUUUUUUUUUAUUCUUUUUUCUUCAAUAAUAUGCCUCUAUCAUCUUAACUAAUGUGUCAUUUGGCCUAUUGUCUCAUUGGCAAGUAUACCACAUAUUGUUUUUAAAAUUAAAAAAUUAUUUUUAAAGUUGAUGACUAAAUGUUUAUCUAUGAAGUACACAAAUUGUGUUGUUAUCAUUGUUUAUAAGGUGGUAAACCUUAGAAAUAAAGCAAAUGUCACUAUUUUUGUUUAAAAGUUUACAAGUUCUUGUUCUCCAUGUCUGAUAUUUGAUUCCAAUAAAGCGUGUUUCUCCAUUACAAUUUAAAGGAAGAGAUUAUUAGAAUUAUUUUUUGUAAAGCCAGUCAAGGUCGUUAAAUACUUCCUGCAUCGUCAUCAGAAUGAAAAUACCCAAAAACCCAACAAAGAAAAAGAUUGUGCCAUUGUUUUUUUUAUAACAGUGAAUGAUUCAUUUAUCAAACUUCUUCGAAGUAUAGCUUAACAUUAUUUAUUUGCCAAAAUGUACAGUAUGCAGGGCUCACACUACUUCAGAAUUAUAGGGAAAGGUGACUCCUUUUUGAGACUGAUAGGGAGAAGUGGGAAGAUUUGAAGAAGUGCUCAUUCGUGCGGUGCGCUGCAUUGUUUGGAUUUUACUAUAGUACAAAGGGUCAUACACCGUAUGUAAAAAAUGUUUUUUUCAUAUUGUUCAAUUUAUAUCUGCAUGAGUACACAAUUAAGGUACCAGUUCAAAUUAAAAGUUGUUUAAGUUUUACUAAGGUUCUAUGUACCAUUAUGUACAGAAUUGUAAAAAUAUAAAUUAUGUUAAUCUCAAUUUGACGUAAUUUACUACAAUGUAAACAUUUUAACACUCCGGAUUCUGUACGGUUCUAAUUUGUAAAAUUUUGAUUUUGAUUUUUUUUAUAUCACUUAUUGUUCCACACUUCUGUCUUUCUGAUCUACAAAUUGUACAUUCACAAUCAAAAAUGAAUCGUAUGACAAAGAGGCAAUCUUUGUGCUCAUCCUCAUCUGGUAACAAUUAUUUCUGUCUUUAAAAGUUAGCAUUAUUAGUUAUCUAAACCUGUAUGAUUGUCAAUGAGACCACUAGUUACGCGUGAUCUAACGACCUAAAAGUUAAUAACUAUUUUUCACCGUACAGCAUUCAACCAUGAGCAAAACCUUUACGACAUAAUCUGCAAUAACAAAAACGUGUGGACAUUACGGGGUACAUUAUAUUCAAACAAAAAUAGUAACAUGUAUAUCCCCUCAACAUCCAACAUUAUAAAUUUUAUUUAAAAAGAAGAGUUGGUAUGAUUGCCAAUGAGACAACUGUCCACAAGUUGAAGAGACUAACACAGAAAUUAACAACUAUAGGUCACCGUACGUCCGUCAACAAUGAGAAAAGCCCAUCCAUACCGUAUGGCCAGCUAGUUUGUUUUCACACAUGUAUGUAACUUGUUAAAAUUUGUAAUUGGUUUCUGUUCUGUAACUGAAGUGUCCCUUAACCAAAUGUUAUAUCUACCGGCUACUUUGGAUAGCUCUGCCCUAUAUACAUGAUAUAAUAUUAUAUAUAUACAAGCACAUGCAUAUAUUUGAGUACCAUGGACAUGUACGCAUUUCCAAUUUAUUUUUAUUUUCUUUAUAAAUUUUGCCUGUUAUUCUCUAUUAUCGUAAAGUGGUUUUACUAAAACUGCAUAUGUAAUAAGAAAGACGUCUAAACUGUAUGAAUUUGUAUUGAUGACUAAAGUACAAGAUAAAGUAAACGACGUUGGAUAUACAAUAAAGCCGCGUUACGUUAACGUUCUCUUCUGUGCGUGAUUUCAAAGAUCGAUUUUGUAUUUAUUUUAGCACCCCUCAUGGGGUUAUAUGUUAAUAUAUUUCACUCUUGUCUUUAUUUUUAUGAUUUCAAUUCAUGCAAUUAUUCCAAAACUCUAUUUUGUAAACCCCUUACAGACCCUCAUGAGAUCUACAAAAUAUAGUGCUAACCCUCAUGAGAUCUACAAAAUAUAGUGCUAACCCUCAUGAGAUCUACAAAAUAUAGUGCUAAGCAGAGACUAAAUAAAGAUUAUUACUAAAUGAAACAAGCUUUGAUAUGUUUUUGUCAAUUGUUGAAGGUUGUACAGUGAACAAUGUAAGCUUGAAAAGGCCCAUACAUGACAGAAUAAAAUUUAAAAUAGAUUUAGCAUAAUAAAACCCUGAAUAUUGUUGCAUGGCAUAGGAAGUAAAGUUUAAAAGUAAGGCAAAAAGAUGUUGUAAUAGGCUCUACAAAUUCAUUUUUUUUUUCAAUUCUAAAAUAUUUUUUUCAUUUUUUUUUUCAUUUAGAAUGCCAAAGAGGAAAAGAGGUAGUAAGCUUACAAAAGGAGUAAAAAAGAAAAGUAAUCCUCGACCAUGGCCAGCAGUUGGUCGCAUUAUGGAGGAGAUAUCAGUUGCAGUUUCUAACCCCACUGAAGAGGAAAAGGAUGAACCAUGUUUUAAUCAAGACUCAUCUCUGCUCGAGUUUGUACGUUCGGAGGAAAUUUCUAAUGCAUCAGGUGAAGACAAAGCAGAACACUUGUUAGAUGAACACUCAGACUACACUUACGCAGCAAAAGAACAGCCAUUUGAGAAUAAAAAAAACAUGUACACUUCAAUUUGAUUGUCAUGCUGAUUUUUUUAUAGCACCAGUGGAAGGCACAGAGAAACAGAUUACUCAAGAAAUAGAGAUAUUUUCAGUGAAUGAGACACGCAAUGAACCUAAAAAACCUUGCCUUUCAGACUUUAUGCGAUUCAUUACAAGGUAGCAUAAGCGAUCCAUAUAUCCUUAGCUGUACAGAUAGGGAAAUUUGCAUAGUUGAACUGUACCAGAUCAGUUGCAGGGAAAUGAGCAUUAAACUAUCAGUUAUUAUUAACAGUAACUUUUGUGCUAAAAUAUAUGUACAUAGGAAGGAAGUGUCAAGUGACAAUGAUAUUUGGACAGGACUGCCAACAAAAUAUGAUAGCUUAGAAUCUGUGACAAAAUUGUUGUCACGUUUAAAGUGGUUUUCUGUCUGUGUCGGAAACCCCGAUGAAGAAUAUCAGUAUAUAACUCCAGUUGGAUGUGGAAUCAGUGACAAUGUCACCAACACUAUUCACAGCUACAGGGAAGGUAACUUCAGUGCCACAUCAGGGACUUUUUCAUACGGAUCAACAAUCAGAUCAGUUCAUUGUUCAUUGUUAGUCAGAGGAAAGCGCUGUUCACAAUGUUUAGAUGAACGUCGCAUUUUAAGAAAGAGACACCAAAGAGCUGCAGAGCGUCAGAAUUCGCCUCCAACAGAUUUUGUGUACAAGACAAUCAAACAUGAAAACAUGAGUAGAUCAAACCUGAUAGAAAAAAUCAACCAGCAGCGAGAUGAAAUGAAGUCUAUGUCAUCAGAAAUUGAAAAACUGAAGAGAAAACGUAAGCAGGACAUUCUCCGGGAUGGUGUUUCAUUUGACCAAGUGCAGAACAUUGAAUUAAAAGACUGCUUGUUGUUCGGUGUGAGCCAAGGCUCCGUGUUGAAGGCCGUACUUUAACCUAUAAUGGUUUACUUUUUAAAUUGUUAUUUGGAUGGAGAAUUGUCUCAUUGGCACUCACACCACAUCUUCCUUUAUCUAUUGAUGUCCACAUGUAACAAUUAAUUUAUGAAAGCACAUCCAGACCCAAACAGUGUAAAAAGACUUUUUUGGGAACAACAGUGUAAAUUUGAGACAUCUGGCAAAAAUGGAAUGAGGUGGCAUCCAAUGAUAAUAAGGUGGUGUCUUUAUAUGAGGAACAAAAGUGCCAAAUCUUACGAUUCUAUGAGAGACUCUGGCUUUAUACAACUGCCCAGUGCAAGGACCCUAUUUGAUUAUUCACACUACACUAAGAGUGCCUUGGGAUUUCAGGCAGAUGUUACCAAAAUGUUACAUGAGGAAGCAAAGAAAUUAGGUAUGUACAUGUACAUGUAACACUUAUAUACUGUAGUGCUCAGUCUUGAUCAAUAUUAUAUAUAUGGCAUUAAUUUAUUAAGAUAAUUUAGAGAUCAUGAAGUCAUGGUACAAGUUCAUUGUCACAAAUUCGUAAGGCAAAAUACAUUUAUUUUUAGAAUUUAUAUUUAAAACUCUAAAAUUGCAAAUUGAUUAUAAUUAGACCUCAAAAGUGGAGGGUCUUAACCAAAGUGUUGUGUUUCCUUCUUUCCUGAAUGUCAUAUAUGUAUAUUGUCAUGAUUGGUUGGAGGCUUUAUAUGUCUCUGAUAUUAAGUUAUAACAUAAGAUUGAAAAAAAAUAUUUUACAUGUUCUUUACCUUUGUACAAUGUUAUACAUGUACCUGUUGAUUUUGUAAAUGUAAAAUGUAUGUUUUGUAAAGUUAAGAAAAUAAACUGACAAUUAAUGCAUGGCAAAAAAGGCAAAAGACGAACAUGCAUGACAUAAACAUGCUAAAGAAAAACAGCAGCCUUAAUAUACAAUAAAGAUGAAUAAAUAUUCAAUUUGGAUUCAAUGGCAGAUUUUCAUAAGUGGGGGCCCACUGACUGCCUAAGAGGGGGCCCGCUCUGGUCACACUUCAGUGAUUCCCUAUAUAAGCAACCAAUUUUUUUCCAGAAAAGGGGAGGGGGCCUCCAAGUCCGCCUCUGGGAUUAAUGUGGAAUAUUUUGAAUAGGUGAUGAAGUACACAACUUACAAGCGUUGUUUGGAUUUAUGUUUGUAUUACAUGUACGUGUACAUUCAAGAUUGAAUUUAUCAAGAUCAAAUUGAUAUGAAUUGUUUCACAUCAGACAAAGAAAUCUGUUAAUCGGAACAUUUAUCAUGUUUAUUGAUACUGACUUGUGUUUAUUGUUUUGGAAUAUUGGUAUUGAACUCUUUUAGAAUGUUAGAUGUGUAUAUAUUUGUUUUAUUUUUUUUUUGGUUUUAAUUUUUGGCAGGAUUGGUUUGUUUUUCAUACAUAUAACCAUUGCAAGAAAUUUGUUGACUUCUAUCUUGAUAAAACUGUAUGCAUGCAUAUAUUAUAUAUAUAUGUACAAUUUUGAGACAAAAUAAUUUGAUAUGUUAUUAUUAUAAAUAGGUAUGUUUAAAGAGAAUAACAAAAGUUAUGUAGGAGUAUUGUUUGAUGAGAUCCGGAUUAAAGAGGACCUUGUUUAUGACAACCACACAGGAGAAUUAAUUGGGUACUGUGAUUUAGACUCUAUAAGCAACCAAAUCAUGAACUUAGAGAAAGCUGUAAAUGACAGCAAACCAACACAAGUCGCAAAGUUCAUGCUAGUGAUAAUGGUCCGAGGUAUAACUACGAAUCUCAAGUUUCCUUUCGCAGGCUUUGCAACAAACAGUAUAACUGCAGACUUUUUAUAUCCGAUCUUUUGGAAAGCUGUAUCAUUUAAACUUAAAGUCCUAUUUUGUAUAUGUGACGGAGCCUCUGCAAACAGAAAAUUUUUCCAAUUGUACAAAUUAGACAACAGUACAGAACCUGUGUAUUUCACCAAGAACCCCCAUGAUGAGAACUGUAACUUAUAUUUCAUUUCUGACGUGCCACAUCUGUUGAAGACCGCCAUAAAUUGUUUAAGCAAUUUGUAUUCCCACAAGAAAACUCGUCAGUUAUUGAAUAGGGAAAACGACAUUUCAUGGAUGCACUUGGUCCUUUUGUUUGAAGAACAUUGUGAACAAGAUAUUUAUAGUCCAUGUUCAAAAUUAUCCAGACCGCAUAUUGAUUUGACAGCUUUCACUUAUAUGAAAGUCAAUCUGGCCGCUCAGAUAUUAAGUGGAACUGUGGCAAAUGCGUUAGAACAUUUUUACGAUGAAAGUGUUUCUGAAACUGUAUGUUUCAUUAGACAUUUUUAUAGAUUUUUUGAUUGUCUUAAUGUGAGGAGUCUGUUUGAAGGUCGCAACAAACGAAAUCCAGAUUUGGACCCAUAUACAGAUGUGAAUGACAACCGUUUGGAGUGGCUGACAACAACUUUUCUGGGAUACUUUGAGGAGUGGCGACAAAAUAUUGAAAAUAGAAACAUUGUUGCAACCGCUAAACAAAAGGCAGCCAUGACUUUGAGUAGACAAACAUUAGAUGGACUAAAAAUCAGUGUAAAAUCCUUUACUGAAUGUGUUAAAAGACAAGGUGUGAUAAGGGCCGUUUCUGGCCCCCCUUUUCCCAGAAUUUUUAAACUUUGAAGUUGAAACCAAUCACGUCUGUGUAAUGAACUGCAGUAUCUGAUCGUCCACGUAGAACCUUAUUUUUAGGUGUUAUGUACUCAAAUAUGUUAAAACUGAGACCUUAAAAAGCUCUAAACGACGAAAAGUGUAAAAAAUCUACAAUUUCGUCAUGUUCGGAGAAUUUUUUUUACAUCAGCGCCAACGUAGACCAUCUUGAAAUUUUCAAACAUCAACUGUACUCUUAAGAAUGUAUCUUUCACAUAAUAAAACAUCAUGGUGGUCUACGUUGGCGCUCAUGUCUAAAAAUUUAAAAAAUAAUCCGAUUGUUUACAUAUUUUGACAAGUCAUUAUAAUACGUCAAAGUGAACGGCACGGUUACGAAAUUAUUCCGGGAUCCAUAAUUGAUCAGAAUAUCACGUACGGAUUGUUUUAUGUCGUAUCCAGUCAUCAAGACAUGUCACUCUCGAAAUAUGUUAAACGUGAAAUUAGACCCAUAAUGAUCAAAAUAGUUUAACACUGUACAGCCAAAUACAGAGUUAUGUCCCUUAAAAUAUGGUGGAUUUAUUUUUAUUCAUUAUAAUUUUCAAAAAUUGUAUGGCGAUGAUAUUGUAUUAUUAUCGGAUAGUAAAGAGGGUCAAACGGGAAGUCUUUUCUAAACGAAUUUUAUUAUAAUGGCAAAUCCUUAGAGACAGUUAGUACUUAUUGUUACUUGGGUAUUAAUAUUAGAUAUAAUGGUAGUUUUAAUGUCGCCAUCACUUCGCUUAUGGAACCAGAUGCUCCGCAGGGCGUAGCUUUAUACGACCGCAGAGGUUGAACCCUGAACGGUUAGGGCAAGUAUGGACACAACAUUCAAGCUGGAUUCAGCUCUAAAUUUGGAUUGUGAUUAAAUAGUUGACACAGCAUAGGUUUCUGACACAGAAUGAAUGUGUUCUAAUGAACUUAAAAUUUUUGUUUCUCUUAGAGCAAUUCACUAUGCUGUUGAAUAUUAAUCCUCUCAAAAAAAUGUUUGAAGAAAUUUUCUUUUUUAUUUAUGAAAUUUCAAAUGAGAAAAAUUGAACCCAAUUUUUUUAAUCACAUCCCCCUUUCCCUUAUUCCAAAACUAAUCUCAAUUAAGAUUUCUAAUGGAGUUUGCAACAAUAACUACUCAUUUAAAUACAUCAUAAAAUAUUAAGAUGUAAAAAAACUGCUUGUUAUCACUGAAUGGUAAAGAUUAUUUUAAUUUAUCAGUUGGUAGUAAAAAGUGAAUAUACAUUGUAUAUUGUAUAUAACAAAGAUUUAAGUUGAUUCUGGACAAAGAAAGAUAACUCCAAUUAAAAAAAAAUCUUGCUAUUGCACAAUAUUUUGCAAUUAGAUAUUUCUUGCUUACUAUUCUGGACAAAGAAAGAUAACUCUAAUUAAAUUUUUUUUUGAUAUUUCACAAUAUUGUGCAAUUAGAUAUUUCUUGCCAUUGCGCAAUACUGUGCAAUUGAAAAGACUUGCUAUUGCACAAUACUUAAUAUAAUAAUUUUUAGAUCCUGAUUUGGACCAACUUGAAAACUGGGCCCAUAAUAAAAAAUCUAAGUACAUUUUUGGAUUCAGCAUAUCAAAGAACUUCAAGAUUUCAAUUUUUGUUAAAAUCAGACUAAGUUUAAUUUUGGACCCUUUGGACUUUAGUGUAGACCAAUUUGAAAACAGGACCAAAAAUGAAGAAUCUACAUACACAGUUAGAUUUGGUAUAUCAAAGAACCCCAUUUAUUCAAUUUUUGAUGAAAUCAAACAAAGUUUAAUUUUGGACCCCGAUUUGGACCAACUUGAAAACUGGGCCAAUAAUCAAGAAUCUAAGUACAUUUUUAGAUUCAGCAUAUCAAAGAACCUAACUGAUUCAUUUUUUGUCAAAAUCAAACUAAGUUUAAUUUUGGACCCUUUGGACCUUAAUGUAGACCAAUUUGAAAACGGGACCAAAAGUUAAGAAAUCUACAUACACAGUCAUGACAGUUAGAUUCAGCAUAUCAAAGAACCCCAAUUAUUCAAUUUUGAUGAAAUCAAACAAAAGUUUAAUUUUGGACCCUUUGGGCCCCUUAUUAUGUUGGGACCAAAAACUCCCAAAAUCAAACCCAACCUUUCUUUUAUGGUCAUAAACCUUGUGUUUAAAUUUCAUAGAAAUGAGAUGUGGCGAUGCUAAUACAUCUGCAUCCCAAAUAUCAUUGACAUACCCACAAGUGAAUCCCAUAAAAAGACCUAAUCACAACUAAUACAUGUAAAGUAAGCAAAUCAUUCAGAGUCAAUAGACCAUGACUGAGAGGGGGGGCCAAAAUAAUCUCCCAUGGCAAUGCUAUGUGGCAAAUGGUAAUACAUCUGCAUACCAAUUAUCAUUGACUACCACUAGUGGUCCCCAUAAAAACCGAGCUAAUCACAAACUAAUACAUUGUUAUCGCCGUCGCGCCGUCGCACUGCCGCCGCCAAAAAAGCAUACCUAUGUCUCGCUUUUGACUCCCUCAAGGCGAUAUAAAAAAUUGUGCAUGAUACACAAGAUAAAAAAUGUGUAUUAUUACAAUAAGAAUCAGCAAUUUUUUUCAAAAUAUUCAUGCAUACUUGAGGAUAUAUAUUAUCAAUGUAGCAGUGCUCUAGCUGGAAGUUUCAGAACUUUUGUAUGAGACUGUGUAUUUCUUUGAUCUUUAAAAUCAUUCCUUAUUUCUCAGCAUUUUUCUGUUCUUUAUACAAAAGACAAGUUUUCCACAAGAAAAUAUGAAAUACAAAUUACAAAAUUAUGAAAUGGUGCUUUUAGUAAUUUCUAGCUUUUAAUUGAUAAACAAGUGAAAAAAAUAUUAAUGAGCUACAUCUAAUUAAUAAUUAUUCACAACAAAAAUCUGAAUACUUAUAAAAGUGUCAUAAAUUUAAAACAUGAUUGAUAAUGAUAAUUUCAUGUUUAUAUACAAUACAUUCAUCCUGUUUACAGUUUUAUUAAUAUAACUAUGAAAACAAAUCGUGGGAGGUGUAUGCUGAUGUUUUUCCAUUACUCUACCAAUCAUUAAUAAUGUUCAUAAAUAGAUUUUUGUAUCACAAGUAAAUACAAGGAAGUGGCGUAGGUGUAGACUAAUAAGACAAAAACUUUUGAACAUUAACACACACAAAAAAUAUUAUCAAUAUUGUCUUUAACUUUACCAAAAAGUUGGGAUGUCAUUGCCCCCUCCCCACUACUCUUUCACUCCUGAGUACUAGUCUUUGAUACUCACUGAAAAUGAACGAAAAUUAAAUCUAUUGUAAGAAAUAAUAAAAGCUUGCAUAGUGUCUCAUUUGGCUUAUAAAAUUGCCUUCAUUACUGAUGCGUCAAAAUUCCAUUACUCAGGAAAAGUAUUUACAAAAAAUUCAAUUGAAUGGGAGCACCAAGCCCAACAAUGAUGUAAAAAAUUUGAUGAAAAUUAUCUAUGCACAUUUUAUAAAGAUUUUAUGCAACUUUGCAGAAAAAUCCAGGCAGAAAACUGACUUGAAAUGCCAUACCUCUGGGAUUUUUUUUUUUAAACCUGACCAUGCUGAUACUCAGAAUGAUUUUUGAUAUUUGGAAAAUUUGUUUAAUUCUGACAGUUAAAGUCCCAUAACCCUGAACAAUAUACCCCCAAAUUAUUUUUUACAGGAAGCUUCUAUAACAAUUCAAAAUAUUUCAUAUAAGUUCCUGAGAUUUGAUCAUUGCCUUCGAUAGAUCUAGUACAUGUGGAAGAAAUAACAAUCAUAGAGGCGAGCAACCAUAUACCAUGAUAAACCAUCAAUAUCAGGCAGAUAAAAUUGUUGUGGAAAAAAUAAUAUACAAAAAUAAAACUAAUAUUAGCAGACCCAUAUUCAAUUAUGCAUAAAUGUUUGUGAUAUAAUUCUCUCUUGUUAUAAAUACAAAUAAAUAAUUGUAUAAUUUGGACCCGUUACAAAAAAAAAAAUAAAAAUAAAAUAAAUCGUCAAUAACAUAUGAUGGAAUGUGAAAGAUAUGAUAAAUUAAUAAAUUAAUAUUUAUAAAAAAAAAGGGAAAGGUCAAAAAAGUUUUAAAUCUUAGCAUAGUACGUAUUUCAAUGUAAUACCUUACUAACACAUGCUAUUUUACACUAUUUCAUUUUCAUAUUCAGACCUUAAUUUGGAAGGUAUUAUUCUCACUACCAUAUCUAAUAUACAUAAUUUAAAGAUCUUCUUUAUUAACCAGCUCUUUAUGUCUUCGAAUACUACUUUCUUGUCCUCUUCUAAUUCAUUAUGCAGCUGGUGAUAGAGUCCUUUGUUAUAUCUGAGAGAAAAAUACAUUUAAAAAUGUUACAGUAAAAACAAACAUAAAAUAUUAACUGCUGAGGGAUAUUUUUAACGAUAUCUACAGAUAUUUAGAAAUGCCUUUUAUUCAUAUGAUAUCAUUCUAUCACAAAAUUUGCCAUAAGUGUGAUUACAAAUUGAAAUAUUUACAGAAUUAGUAUAUAUUAACCCUUACCAAGUUCUUAUGUGCAAUAUCUGCAAUAAAGGCAUACCACAGUCAGUAAAACACUUUUUAUACUGAUCUAGGAUAAUCUGGAUUAUUUAAUAUCAAUUGUGCCAAUUUUAUUUAAUUAACUGGAGGAAAACUAUUUGCGGUUUUACAAUUUAUAAACUGUACAAUUUUCCUGAUUUUCUGAACUGACAAGAGGCAGUAACUCUGAUAAAACAUAACAUUCCCUCAUUUCAUUAUGUUCAAGUGAAGCUUCUCCUUCUGAAAAAGUUUUCAUUGAAAACUGAUGCUGUCUACAACUACCUUUAAUUUGUACUUCAUAAAUGACAAGUUUCAAGUACUAUAAAUCUGAUAAUUUCCAUUUUUGUCCUCUACCACAUUGUAUACUUGACCAAGUUGGGAUAUCUGCACCAUUUAUUAGUCCUCGUGUUUUUUAACAUUCUUUUGGAAGAAUCAAGUGUUAGUGAUUGGUGAGGGACUAUUUUUCUGUCUAAUAUUUUUAUGAUUCCUGUUAUCCUUGUAUGUAUUAUUUCAUGAUUGAGACAGUUUGAAUGUUACUUUGGAUCUUUCGUCCUUUAUAAAUUUGUACUACCUGGUGUGAUUUUGGAAUCAUGUGAGGUGAUGCAUGCAUUACAGAAAAUGUUUCAUUUCUUUUUAUAGUUCUAAAAUUUUUUAUUGUUUUCCUUUAAUCCUAUUUAUCUCUGUUUAAUUCAGGAUUCCCCUGGAUAUCUUUUCCUCUUUUUUUCUAAUAUUUGAAAAUGAAAGUUGGUAAAUUAUUUAUAUUUUGUUUCCACCAUACCUUUAUUUCUUUAUCUGUACUUUAGCAAGUUCAUGAAACCUUAAUGGCCCCUUCAACAUCACAUAACCUUAUCUUCAUCACCAUGAACGUGCCAGGAAAGGCACCUCGACAGUAG
rnacentral:sRNA from 1 species